AGUGAACGCUGGCGGUAGGCCUAACACAUGCAAGUCGAACGGCAGCACAGGAAAGCUUGCUCUCUGGGUGGCGAGUGGCGGACGGGUGAGGAAUACAUCGGAAUCUACUCUGUCGUGGGGGAUAACGUAGGGAAACUUACGCUAAUACCGCAUACGACCUACGGGUGAAAGCAGGGGAUCUUCGGCCCUUGCGUUAAUGGAGCGGCCGAUAUCUGAUUAGCUAGUUGGUGAGGUAAAGGCUCACCAAGGCUUCGACCAGUAGGUGGGCUGAGGGGAAGCACAGCCACACUGGAACUGAGACACGGGCCAGACUUCUACGGGAGGCAGCAGUGGGGAAUUUUGGAAAAUGGGGGCAACCCUGAACCAACCAUUCCGCGUGGGUGAAGAAGGCCUUCGGGUUGUAAAGCUCUUUCGCAAGGGAAGAAACGAUACAGUCGAAUAAACUGUGUUAAUGACGGUACCUUGAUAAGAAGCACCGGCUAACUACGUGCCAGCCGCCGCCGUAA
rnacentral:rRNA from 1 species